rnacentral:tRNA from 1 species
CGGGGAGUAGCUCAGCUUGGAUAGAGUGCUGCGUUCGGGACGCAGAGGUCGGAGGUUCGAAUCCUCUCUCCCCGA